GUGCUCACUUCAGCAGCACAUACAAUGAAACUGGAACAAUGCAGAGAUUAGCAUGGCCCCUGCGCAAAGAUGACGCUCAAAUUUAUCAAGCAUUUCCUAUUUUU
ensembl:snRNA U6 U6 spliceosomal RNA